UGCAUUAUGAUGUAAUUGGUAACAUACAAGGCUCAUGUCCUUUUUAUAUACGUUCAAAUCGUGUUGAUGCAU
rnacentral:tRNA from 2 species